CUACGAACUAAGCUGCUACCAGCCCCGAGCUAGCACCAGAUCUAGAAAAUAAAAAGAUUACCGUUUGGUCAGUGACUGCAGCAAAUGGCAAAAUAUGACUCCCCUUCCUUGUGUUUCUAGGUUAUUACUUUCUUGCCUAUGGUGUUAACGGGACUGAGAACCUCAGCCCAUUUUGUGGUCAUAAACCAGAAACUUGGAGAAAGUACCCAGUAUGUUUGCAGGUGGCACUCCUUGUAAAAGACACUUGGUAGCCCAUAGUCCGAAAGGCAGGACAAAGCAAAUCAUGUAGUUUCACUCAUGACUGUCAUUGAAGGGUUUACUGAGUCCCACAUCACCCAGGGUCCACUGAGAUGUCCCUGCCCUUCAGCUUUAAGGAAGAUUACUUCAAUUCUACUCAUGCUUAUGCCCUGCCCUGUAAAGAUCCAAAGUCCUCCUCGGGUUGUCUGUGAAUUCCUUAAGAGGAUGAAAUUAGAGCCUACUCUUCCCUCCUAGUCCUCUGAAAGUUUGCAGAGAAAUGGCAACAUAUGUCAGACAAGUAUAAAUCAGAGGAGAAAAAAAUAAGACCAUGGAUGAAAACUGUGACUCCGAAGCAGAGUUUAUUUGGCAUCAACAUUAGUGUUUACUGGGUGACCGUGUGGUAGCAUGAGUAAGACCUUUAUUUAGUAUUAGGUAAAUUUGUGUUUGAGUUUCAGCUUCACCAGUCUCUUCAUAAGACCUUAGACAAAUUCACACCUAUAAUCCUAUUACCUUGGGAGGCCAAGGCAGGAGGGUUGCUUGAGCUCAGGAGGUUGAGGCCAGCUUGUGCAACAUAGCAAGAUCCCAUCUCUACAAUAAAAGUUUACAACUUAGCCA
rnacentral:lncRNA from 13 species